rnacentral:rRNA from 1 species
AUUGAACGCUGGCGGCAGGCCUAACACAUGCAAGUCGAGCGGAUGAAGGGUGCUUGCUCCUGGAUUCAGCGGCGGACGGGUGAGUAAUGCCUAGGAAUCUGCCUGGUAGUGGGGGAUAACGUCCGGACACGGGCGCUAAUACCGCAUACGUCCUGAGGGCGAAAGUGGGGGAGCUUCGGACCUCACGCUAUCAGAUGAUCCUAUGUCGGAUUAGCUAGUUGGUGGGGUAAAGGCCUACCAAGGCGACGAUCCGUAACUGGUCUGAGAGGAUGAUCAGUCACACUGGAACUGAGACACGGUCCAGACUCCUACGGGAGGCAGCAGUGGGGAAUAUUGGACAAUGGGCGAAAGCCUGAUCCAGCCAUGCCGCGUGUGUGAAGAAGGUCUUCGGAUUGUAAAGCCCUUUAAGUUGGGAGGAAGGGCAGUAAGUUAAUACCUUGCUGUUUUGACGUUACCAACAGAAUAAGCACCGGCUAACUUCGUG